rnacentral:rRNA from 1 species
GAUGAACGCUGGCGGCGUGCCUAACACAUGCAAGUCGAGCGAUUUACUUCGGUAAAGAGCGGCGGACGGGUGAGUAACGCGUGGGUAACCUGCCCUGUACACACGGAUAACAUACCGAAAGGUAUGCUAAUACGGGAUAAUAUGCUUUAGUCGCAUGGCUGAAGUAUCAAAGCUCCGGCGGUACAGGAUGGACCCGCGUCUGAUUAGCUAGUUGGUAAGGUAACGGCUUACCAAGGCGACGAUCAGUAGCCGACCUGAGAGGGUGAUCGGCCACAUUGGAACUGAGACACGGUCCAAACUCCUACGGAGGCAGCAGUGGGGAAUAUUGCACAAUGGGCGAAAGCCUGAUGCAGCAACGCCGCGUGAGCGAUGAAGGCCUUCGGGUCGUAAAGCUCUGUCCUCAAGGAAGAUAAUGACGGUACUUGAGGAGGAAGCCCCGGCUAACUACGUGCCAGCAGCCGCGGUAA